UAUGCCUUCGAAUAAUUAAACAGCUAUACAGUAGUAUAGAUGUUGUUUAGUUCAGACAGAGGCAAAUAUCAAAUAUUAAAUAUCU
rfam:Medicago truncatula strain A17 chromosome 6, whole genome shotgun sequence.